CGAGCACGCGCGUGUGGCAUAUCAAUAAGCGGAGGAAAAGAAACUAACAAGGAUUCCCUUAGUAACGGCGAGUGAAGCGGGAAGAGCUCAAAUUUGAAAUCUUCAAGGUUCUACCUUGACGAAUUGUAGUUUAUAGAAGUGUUUUCUGUUAGUGGAGUGGCAAAAGUUCUUUGGAAUAGGACAUCAUAGAGGGUGAGAAUCCCGUAUUUGGUCAUUCCUCCUAGCGUUGUGAUACACUUUCAACGAGUCGGAUUGUUUGGGAAUGCAGUCCAAAAUGGGUGGUAAAUUUCAUCUAAAGCUAAAUAUUGGCGAGAGACCGAUAGCGAACAAGUACCGUGAGGGAAAGAUGAAAAGAACUUUGAAAAGAGAGUUAAACAGUACGUGAAAUUGUCAAAAGGGAAGCGUUUGACACCAGUGUUGUUUUUCCGAAAAUCAAUUACGAAUGUUUUGUUUUUGAGGAGUUAUGACUUCAUCGGCUUGCUUCUUUCUUUACGAAACUUUCUUAAUGCACUUUUCGGUUAACAAGUCAACAUCAAUUUCUUUUGUUGUAAAAGGGUAUGAGGAAGGUGGCUUUCUUUUCGGAGAAAGUGUUUAUAGCCUUGUGCCUCUGCAAUCGGAGAGAUUGAGGUCUGCAGCGUAGAUCCUUCGGGGUUAGAUACGUUUGUGCUAAGUUAUAGCUUUUCAUAGACAACUUGUUGACUAUGUUUAGUCUUGUAGCUUACUCGCUGAUGCUAUUUUACCUACGCUUAGGAUGUUGAACUCUAUCACACACAG
rnacentral:rRNA from 1 species